rnacentral:tRNA from 1 species
ACCCGUCUAGCUCAGUCGGUAGAGCGCUGGCCCUUUUAAGCCAGUGGUCGUGGGUUCGAGCCCCACGGGGGGUG